CAGAGGUCCCGAGCGUUGUUCGGAUUCACUGGGCGUAAAGGGUGCGUAGGUGGCGAUGAAAGUUCGAUGUGAAAUCUCCGGGCUUAACCCGGAAAAGGCAUUGAAAACUAUGUUGCUUGAGGUUUGAGGGGGGACUGGAAUUCUUGGUGUAGCAGUGAAAUGCGUAGAUAUCAAGAGGAACACCAGUGGCGAAGGCGGGUCCCUGGACAACACCUGACACUGAGGCACGAAAGCUAGGGGAGCAAACAGGAUUAGAUACCCUGGUAGUCCUAGCCCUAAACGGUGCAUGUUUGCUGUAGGAGGAAUCGACCCCUUCUGUGGCGAAGCUAACGCGAUAAACAUGCCGCCUGGGGAGUACGGUCGCAAGAUUA
rnacentral:rRNA from 1 species